rnacentral:tRNA from 1 species
GCCCCCAUCGUCUAGCCUGGUUAAGGACACGGGUCUUUCAAGCCCGCAGCAGCGGUUCAAAUCCGCUUGGGGGCA